rnacentral:tRNA from 1 species
GCCUGGGUAGCUCAGUUGGUUGAGCGUCUGACUUCAGCUCAGGUCAUGAUCUCGCGGUCUGUGAGUUCGAGCCCCAUGUUGGGCC